rnacentral:misc_RNA from 1 species
UGUUUUUCACGCGGUCUCGGCACGAGAGCGCUUGGCCUUGGGUUGCUUGACGAUCAUGACGGAGCAGUGCGCGUGGUGGGCGCAGUAGUCGCUGACGCUCCCCAGGAAGGCCCUCUUGAUUGCGCCGUAGCCAUGGCUGCCGACGACGAGCAACCCCGCGCUGUGCUUCUCCACCGCGUUGCACAGCACGUACCUGGGCUCCCCUUCGAUCACCUCGAUCAACGCGUGCAUCGCGUUGGCGAUGCAGAGGCGGCGCGCCUUCUCGACGACAUCCUCCGCCGUCUUGCGCAGGUCGGCCUCCACGUAUCUCACCACCUCUCCAGACCCGGGGCCGGCGCCGAAGCCGACGACGGAGGACGGCGAGGGCUUGGCGUGGACGAUGACGAGCUCGGCGCCGCCGCUGCCCGCCAUGCCGCUCGCCAGGUGCUGCAUCGUCCACUCCAGCGCGUAGUUGCUGUGCUCGCUGUCGUCCACCCCGACCACCACCACCGUCUUCCCCUGCUCCCCCUCCGCCGCCGCCAUCACAAUUCACAGACGGAUCAACAAUUGCUCGAUGGAUGGAUUGGUUAGAUAGCUCUGACUCG